GCAAGGUUUAAUUUAAUGGAGAAAAUAGGGACAAGGAACAUGAUGAGGACAACUAGGCAAUUACAUUAACAUAAGCAAUUGAUCUGUGUUUUCAGUUUGAGUCAUCUAUCCCCUUGCUCUCAGUAGUUGCUUAAGCAAUAAGCACUACAGGAAUAUGCCAGGAGAAAUCCAGGGAGGUCCAAAAUUAAGCAGUCAAGAUAUGCCUCAUCAGCCUGCAUUUUGCCACAGCCACUCAUCACACAACGCUUUCAUCACUCGCCCAAAAACUUCAAACAAUGCUUUUUUAAGCAAUAUCCUAAAACAUUAGUUUAAACAAAGGGACAGUUAUA
rnacentral:misc_RNA from 1 species